rnacentral:rRNA from 1 species
UACGAAGGGGCUAGCGUGCUCGGAAUCACUGGGCGUAAAGCGCACGUAGGCGGAUUGCUAAGUCAGGGGUGAAAUCCUGGAGCUCAACUCCAGAACUGCCUUUGAUACUGGCAACCUUGAGUCCGGGAGAGGUGAGUGGAACUGCGAGUGUAGAGGUGAAAUUCGUAGAUAUUCGCAAGAACACCAGUGGCGAAGGCGGACUCGACUGGCCCGGUUA